UGGCCCCGGGGAGACCCUAUCCGACUGGGGAAAUCAGCCCCAGGCCCCGGCGAGGUGGGCGGCCUCUGUCGGGUGCCACUCCGGGUCUCACGGGGCAAACCUACCUCCAAGUCCCACGCGUUUCAAAGGCUAAAUCCCCGCUCCCCCACCCUGCGAUAGGUGCUGUCCGCCGGGGCGCCAGCUUCCCCAGCUGUGACUCCGCCGCCAUUGGGGCGCAGAGGGUCCGUCCUUCUGAAGUGGCGGCCCCAUCCCCGUCCCUGUUCUGGGCCCGGCGCGCACCCACCGAGGGCGCUGUCCGGGAGCCGGCUGGCGAACUUGAGGUCACUGGGGAUGGUGAGGAUGUAGAAGAAGUGGAAGAAGAUGUCCACGGCCACGAUGGCUACCACGCUGAGGCCCGCCUGGGCCCGGAUGCGCCACAGCUCGCCCUCUCGCCGCACCGGCUCCACCUGGCUCACCUGAGGGACGGCUAGUGUCUGAGGGGGGGAGGCAAGCCCUGCGCGAGGAGCCCUGUCUUAGCGGUGCCUUGCUUGCCCCACCCUCAUCCCAGAGGCCCUGGAAGAUGAGGCACCACAUGGAGAGAGAGGCCACAUACAGGAGAAUGGAGGUGCCCCUGCUGAGCUGGCUGAACGGGGCAUGAGUGAUCCAGGUGGCAUGAUGUGAAGCAGAAUUACCUAGGCCACCCACAGAAUGACCUCAGUCUAGCCUGGGACUUCUUCCCACCAAAGCCGCCAGUGACACCGAGUACAGUGCCAUGCUCAUCCUAGAUCUUCAUUAUUGGUGGGUUGCGGAUCCUCAGCAGAUUUUUCUCCUGUGCCGACAGCUUCCUUGGAUCGGGAUAGACAGACAACUCAUCACUGGCUGUUUCUACCGACCGGCUCCGAGUCUGUCCCAGCUGUUUCUCAAGCUCUCGAACCUGAGGGUGGUUCCACAACAGGUCUGCAGUCAGACUCGACCCUCAGGGGGGCCGCCCUGUGAUGUGACAGGAGACCCCACUAGACAGACGACAACACGGUUCCAGAUGGACGUGGAGGUCCCUAGGAGAGGGACUGGGGUGGGGGAGGGAUGGGAGGGCUCUGCGGUGGCAUCCUGAGCAAAACAAGGGGAGACACUGGGGAGGUUUAGCUUGGAAAAGAGAAACUUCAAAGUAAAUGAGAAAAAUCACCCUAUCUCUGAGGCCAAGAAGCAGAUGUGUAGCCCCAGGAACUUGGGAGGGAUAGGAUAGCAGGUCUCAGUACCAGGAAGAGCUCACAGACAGGCCACCCAAGCCUGGGCGGGCUCCUCGGGAGGCUGCGGGCUCCUGGCCACUUGGAGGAGAUGCUGCAGGGGGCGGGCAGGGUUUGGAAGCGGGGAGAC